AUUGAACGCUGGCGGCAGGCCUAACACAUGCAAGUCGAACGAGGGGCGGACGGGUGAGGAAUGUCUGGGAAACUGCCUGAUGGAGGGGGAAAACUACUGGAAACGGUAGCUAAUACCGCAUAACCUCAGAUGUGCCUAGAUUGGAUGAGCUUGUUGGGGGGGUAACGGCUCACCAAGGCGACGAUCCCUAGCUGGUCUGAGAGGAUGACCAGCCACACUGGGACUGAGACACGGUCCAGACUCCUACGGGAGGCAGCAGUGGGGAAUAUUGGACAAUGGGCGAAAGCCUGAUGCAGCCAUGCCGCGUGUAUGAAGAAGGCCUUCGGGUUGUAAAGUUCUUUCGGCGGAGAGGCGGUACCCGCAGAGGAAGCACCGGCUAACUCCGUGCCAGCAGCCGCGGUAAUUC
rnacentral:rRNA from 1 species